rnacentral:rRNA from 1 species
UACGUAGGGGGCAAGCGUUGUCCGGAAUCAUUGGGCGUAAAGAGCGUGUAGGCGGUCCGGUAAGUCGGCUGUGAAAGUCCAGGGCUCAACCCUGGGAUGCCGGUCGAUACUGCCGGACUAGAGUUCGGAAGAGGCGAGUGGAAUUCCCGGUGUAGCGGUGAAAUGCGCAGAUAUCGGGAGGAACACCUAUGGCGAAGGCAGCUCGCUAAACUGUAACUGACGCUGAGGCACGAAAGCGUGGGGAUCAAACAGG